rnacentral:tRNA from 1 species
GAGGCUUUAGUAUAUAUUUAGUAUAAUUUAUUUUCAAUAAAUAGGAUAUGAGUCUUAU